GUUAUACUCUCUCCGUCCCAAAAUUCUUGUCUUAAGUUUAUGUAGAUAUAAAUGUAUUUUGUCACGUUCUAGUAUCUAAAUACAUUCAUUUCUAAACAAACAUAAAACAAGAUUUUAAGACGGAGGAAGUAUAUA
rfam:Hordeum vulgare subsp. vulgare, WGS project CAJW01000000 data, contig: morex_contig_1594937